UGAUUCUGUAUUAAUCAGCUAUAGGUGCCAAGCCAGAGGGUUGACAGAGAUAAAGGUGAAAGUCUGCUCAACUUUAAGGUGCCUGUAGAGUGAACUUUUCAUGCACUUGUCUUUGGUGAGUUGAGUAACACAGAGCAGGAUAGACUGGGCUGCUGCUCCUAAUUGUCCAUGUGUACCUUAUGUAGGUAGAUUGUCAUUCUGCUGUUGUAAUAUGUAAUAUCCUGGUAUAAACUAAAUGCAGAUAAUGCCUGUAUACAGUUUCUUCAAUAUCAACUGGAAAAACAAAGUUUAAUGGAAGAUCAGACUGGAUGUUCAAAGAUGCUGCACUAUAUUAUUCCGAAUAUCACAAUACUUAAUAUGCCAUUUGCUGAAUAAAACUUGAGUUGUUAAUAAUGCAUGGGAUUACCAUAAAUCCACUAAUGGGUGGUAUCAGUGAGAGCUGCUGAACGAAUUGAAAAGUAGGAUAAUUCAAAUAUAAGCAUGCAUUAGGAAGGGAUUUAAGGGAAAAAAACUGUCUUAGUGUUUUCUGCUGCACUUUGAUGGAAGUAGGUUUUUGUUUGGUGAGAAACAUUCAGAGUUACUCUUCCUUAACAGCAAUAGCCAGAUCUAGAUGAGUAGGUGAAGGUUUAGUAUGAGAACAUACAUUUAAUAAAAGUGAACAGGUUAAACUCUCCCAUAUCCAUACUACCCAACAGUAAUUUGCAAAUAACAACUGAUUGAAAAUGCUUUCUUUUGAAAAAUGAUGAAAAAUUACAGCCUUGUUUAAUUUUGAUGUAUUCAAUAUGUUCCAACAUGAAUAAAGUGACUGCUGUGGAUGGACGUGACAAACAGCAGUAUGGUAGCUGGGAUAAUUAGCUGGUGUCCAGAAAAAGGGCAACUUAAACCAUCUAAAACGUGACCCGUUCUCAGCAGUAGGAGUAUUGCCCCCACUGCAGAUCUCCUUUAUCUUCCCUGCCCACUAUAAAGACACCACUCAAAGAAAAUCAUAUAGUGUGUGUUGUUUACUUAGAUGGGUAAUGGCCAGGACAAGACUGAGCCCUGAUCCUCUGUACAAAGGAGACAGUGUGGAUUGUGGUGUCUCAGCUUUCUCAUGUUUGCCUGUAGAUCAGUUUGUAUAUAAAAUAAAAAGAAGGGAAUUCAGAGGACAAUCAAGGGUAGCUGAAUAACAAAGCUGGAACUUGUUUCCACAUUUUAUUCUUUUUAGCCCUACCAAAAUAACACCUAUGUUAUUUUGGCUAAUGCGUCUUCAGCAGAAAAGUUAAAUUAGAUUUAAAGCUUUUAAAGUUUGGAUCAAGAGACCACACUAUCUGCCAUACCAUAAUCUGCAUUUAUAGCACAGGAAGAUGGAAAAUGAGCUUGUAACUGAACCUGACAGAAGAAUCCUGAAGACAGUUCAUAGAGUUCCGUAAUACUGCUUUCCAGGAAACACAGAUAAUUCAGAUACAGGGGGUGCAAAACAUGCUUUUCUCCAACUGCAAACAUGCGAUUUAUAAAACUGCAAAAUUUUCGCACAAAGUCUUGAAGAGGGAAAAAAGCAUGAAUGCGUAGUACUGCUCUGAUCACGAGAUUUUCUGCAUGUACUGCUCCAAGUGAUACUGCUUGAUGACCAAGAAGUUUCACAGUUGUCAAAUAGCGUUUAAUAGAUUUUGUCAGAUUUUUUAUUAAAAUACAUAUUUUUAACUUAAUAAUUGUAUCUGCACGUAUUCACAAGGCAUUUGUCUCAUAGGAAGAUAAGGUGGGACUAAAUCUGUGGGCCGCAGUCUUCCCUGCUUCUGUCUGUGCAGCACAAACUUGCCCACCUGUGUGUGACAGUAUGGCUGUGCAGACCCUGGCUGCUCAUGUCCCUCUCCACAUGUGCUUUGGCAAACUGUUCUUUUAUAUUUUUUCAGUAUUUCCAAAGUCUUCACUACUAACAAAUAGAUACUGUAGAAGUCUAAAGCAUUUUAUUUGGGAAAGAGAAUACCAAAUUCUUUUUCAGCAGACAUGGACAGUAUGAUAUUCUAGGGACCAGUGGCCCAGCGCUCAGGUGGAGUCAUCAUUGUAUCAGUCAGUAUGACAGACGUUACAGAUAGAAGCAAUUGACAACAUCCAAUUCUUUUCAAUUUUGCUCAGAACUUUUUGGUACUAACUUUCACCCUCAAGCUGUGUGAGUUAGCCUGGCUGAGCACAAUGGUUGCAGUCAGACCAUUCAGCAGUAUCCUGCCAGAUGCUUAACUGGAAAGGCUCUGGCAUGUGUGAACUCUCUCUUUGGCUACAUACUCCUUUAAAAAUAUCAUCAGCUUCAUGAGUUUUCAUCAACAAAUCUCUUUGUGCACUGUCUUAAUUAUAGACUGCUUCUCUUUUUGUUUCAUUUGAAUGCAAAUCCUCUUCCUGAAAGUGGAACAAUGGAAAUGUCCACAGCCCUCACUUCUGCAGAUCAGGGUUCAGGUUUCAGGAAUCAAAAGAAAAGAGCUGUGCCAAGCCUAGAGAAAAUUAGAGCGCUUAAAAUGCCUUUGAAUUGUAAUAUUUCAUGGGCAACAUAAUGUUAAUGGCACUGUGCAGUAAUUAGGAAUCAGUUGUGUGUAUAUGCUGUGCCCUACAACGUACAAUAACAUCAGCUAUUAAUUGGAUACUGCUGUUUUCAUUUAUUGGAAAGAAAAGGAUCUGUCCUGUACACUGAAAUAAUCUCCAAAUACUUUGAAAGAAACCACCUAUAUUCAUAACCGUUCUUACUGAGCCUUCAAAAGGAUCUCUUCUGAUAAAGAUGCAGUGCUUGCAACAGAUCUGCUUCAGGAGGAAGUAGGUCAGUAAGAAAUUGCUAAGUCAAUACUUGAAUUAAUUGAAUAGUUUAAACCAAAGGACAAUAAUUGAAAGAUUCAGCCUCCUGAGUCUUUGUACUGUGAGAGUGUCAGCAUGACUGCAGUGACAAAAGCUGUUCCUGGGAGAUCCUCCUUCCUGCGACAUGAAUCAGGAAAUGAAUCAUUCUUCCUGUAGCAUCUUGACAAUUAAGAAUAAGGACAACGUACAACAGCCAAUUAGGGAACCUGUUCAUUUCUGAGCGUUGCUAACUCAUGACCACGUGCUGCAUGUUUUUAAACACUUCAGUGGCAUACUGGCCCUUCUGCUGAAUUCAAACCAGAGAGGCAAAAUGAAACAUUUUAACUGGUUUGUAUGGCCCAGAGGGCUGCCCUUCACAUCAUACAGGGUUGAAUCUUCCUGUACUUUGCACUGAUGUUUCUCAUUGUCUGACAAAGGAUCCUUGCCUCUUUCAGUGCCAAGGUUAAGCAGACUCACAAAAACCUGCCCGACACUUCUGCAGCUCUUCUGUGUCAUUUUCAAAGAUCACCUUCUCCAAACGCGAGAGUAGUCAUCUCGAUGGCUGAGACAUUGAGAGUGUGCAGUAAACAUACAAGAUCACAAUUUGAGGAGUGACUGUUAUCAAGACGUGCUCAAAACCAGUUGGGGUUCCUAAGAACGAUGCAGCAAAGUGGAAAUAUGCUGCAGAGGGAGAGGACACAAGAGCAGAAAUACUUUAAACAGUAGAAACAGGAAUUUUCUGUCUCUCAGAAGAGAAGGGGCAGAGGUUGCUGAAGGACGCAGAUGAACAAGACCAAGCAAAUCCUGAUCAAGGGUCAAAGAGAAAUCCUUAGUCUGAGAGACACAGACGAACAAGGCCUGGGGCAAGGAGAGAGAGAAGCUGCAGCUUUCUUUUUAAGACUGCUGGGAAGCAGUCUUUUGUGUGGGCUUACAUCAAGGAAGAUGGCCAUCUCAGGGGGUGCUGCACAUGACUCUUAGCCAAGUACCCAAGGAUGUUACAUAGGCAAGAAAAAAGGAGGAUAAAAAGAGGGAUCAGCAACCAUGAAGUGAAAUUUAUGACAACGGAUUCCUCACAACCUGAGACCUGCAUGCUGAAGAAGAGAAAGAUUUCUGACAUGAGAAGCCUCAUGACCUGCCUCUCCCUCUUGGACUUGCUCUGCGCUCUACCUGCUUGCUGCCUAAGGCCGGCCACUCUGCUGCUGCUCUCCCCAAAAUGUGUCUGCCAUCAGAUCCCUCACUACAGAAGUCCUGCUUGCUGACAGACUCUCCUGAGCCUGCCACCUGCUGCCUCCUCCCAGAUUUACCCUGCGGCUUCUUCCCGCUAUCCGCUUGCUGCCCAAGGCCAGCGCCACUGCUGCUGUUCUCUCCAUGCACUUUUUCCUCAGACCAUCAAAAUGUCAUGCAACAGGACUGCUGCUGGAUCUUGGUAUUGACAGUACCCACUUUCUGCAAUUCUUGCCUCUUUCUGUCUUUUCUAUCUCCUGCCUUCCUUUCCCCAUCACCCUAAAUCAUCAGUCCCCCCCUUUCCCAUCUUCCUGAUUAAGAUUUGUAAUAAACUGGUCAGAGCAACAUUUGAACCAUUAUUUCUUAAUCUCACACUGGGUAUACAUGUACCAAAAAACCUCCUCUCCCUCCUAUAAAUUGGAGCAAGACAACUGCUUGGACUUCAACAGAUUCCAUGAUCAAGAAGAAAGCCAUGAAGGAAAUGAGAUUCAGUAAGUCACUGUGCUGCAAGGAGAUAUCAGUUGCCUGUAAGUGAUGUGCAGAUUAUGUUUGUAAUACAUUGUCUGUCUCCAGCUUGAUCAAAAGCUGCUAAUUUUAAUAAUCUGUUUUCCUUGACCUGAGUGAAUUUGGGAUUGGGCCCUUUGAGAACAGAUAAAAGGUAAAAGUAUUGCGGUGCCAAAACUAAACACCUAAGCUCACUUACUUCCUCAUUCCUGUACAAUUUCUUAAAUGUAACCCUACUCUGUGCAAGCUCUUUGAUUAUGUAGAUGCACAGUAACUUAUCAUUUGCGUCUCGUGAAACUUUCAUAACAAUGGCAACUACAGUUAAACCAUGCCACUUGGUUUCACCAUACUCCCCCCAGUAUCUUUGCCAUCAACAUUUCUCAGAGUGGCAGUUCUCCUGAGUUUUCCAGAAUUUAUAGGUCAGAGGUAAAACAGCAUGUUCUCUGUAAAUGUUAAUGAGAUUAUAAACUGCUGAGUAUUAUAAUGAUGAAUUUGAUCAUCUUUCUCUACUGACUAUACGCAGUUUUGGCUCUGCAAUAUUUUUUACCUUUUAUCUGUUAUCAAAGGGCCAAAUCCCAAGUUCACUGAAGUCAAGGAAAACAGAUAUAUUAAGAUUGGCAGCUUUCAAUCAAGCUGGAGAUGAACCUCAACCAUGAACAAGUCAUCAGUUUCUUACAUUUUGUCAAUCUACACUAUGACGGGGAAAUUGCACAAAGUGUGGCAGUAUACUGGAUCACCGUAAUGGAAAGAGAUUACCUUCAACCUGCUCAGUUCAUACCCUGAAGGGGUGGAUUGUUUUGGAAAUGCUUAAGUCAUGCCUUGGCCAGUAAUGAAGCACCCAGUGGGAUGGCAGUGCCAGCCCAGGGGAGCUCAGGUGCAUGCACCAGACGUGUUCAGUCAGGAUCCACCCCUUCCCAGCCCUGGAAGUGGAGGCAAGCGGAUCUCUGGAGAUC